AGAGUUUGAUCCUGGCUCAGGACGAACGCUGGCGGCACGCUUAACACAUGCAAGUCGAACGAGAGAAGAGGAGCUUGCUUUUCUGAUCUAGUGGCGGACGGGUGAGUAACACGUGAGCAAUCUGCCUUUCAGAGGGGGAUACCGAUUGGAAACGAUCGUUAAUACCGCAUAACAUAAUUGAACCGCAUGAUUUGAUUAUCAAAGAUUUAUCGCUGAAAGAUGAGCUCGCGUCUGAUUAGCUAGUUGGUAAGGUAACGGCUUACCAAGGCGACGAUCAGUAGCCGGACUGAGAGGUUGAUCGGCCACAUUGGGACUGAGACACGGCCCAGACUCCUACGGGAGGCAGCAGUGGGGAAUAUUGCACAAUGGAGGAAACUCUGAUGCAGCGAUGCCGCGUGAGGGAAGAAGGUUUUAGGAUUGUAAACCUCUGUCUUCAGGGACGAAAAAAGACGGUACCUGAGGAGGAAGCUCCGGCUAACUACGUGCCAGCAGCCGCGGUAAUACGUAGGGAGCGAGCGUUGUCCGGAAUUACUGGGUGUAAAGGGAGCGUAGGCGGGAUCGCAAGUCAGAUGUGAAAACUAUGGGCUUAACCCAUAAACUGCAUUUGAAACUGUGGUUCUUGAGUGAAGUAGAGGUAAGCGGAAUUCCUAGUGUAGCGGUGAAAUGCGUAGAUAUUAGGAGGAACAUCAGUGGCGAAGGCGGCUUACUGGGCUUUAACUGACGCUGAGGCUCGAAAGCGUGGGGAGCAAACAGGAUUAGAUACCCUGGUAGUCCACGCCGUAAACGAUGAUUACUAGGUGUGGGGGGACUGACCCCUUCCGUGCCGCAGCAAACGCAAUAAGUAAUCCACCUGGGGAGUACGACCGCAAGGUUGAAACUCAAAGGAAUUGACGGGGGCCCGCACAAGCAGUGGAGUAUGUGGAUUAAUUCGAAGCAACGCGAAGAACCUUACCAGGUCUUAACAUCGUAUGCAUAGCUCAGAGAUGAGUGAAAUCUCUUCGGAGACAUAUAGACAGGUGGUGCAUGGUUGUCGUCAGCUCGUGUCGUGAGAUGUUGGGUUAAGUCCCGCAACGAGCGCAACCCUUACUGUUAGUUGCUACGCAAGAGCACUCUAGCAGGACUGCCGUUGACAAAACGGAGGAAGGUGGGGAUGACGUCAAAUCAUCAUGCCCCUUAUGACCUGGGCCUCACACGUACUACAAUGGCUGUCAACAGAGGGAAGCAAAGCCGCGAGGUGGAGCGAACCCCUAAAAGCAGUCUUAGUUCGGAUUGUAGGCUGCAACCCGCCUACAUGAAGUCGGAAUUGCUAGUAAUCGCAGAUCAGCAUGCUGCGGUGAAUACGUUCCCGGGCCUUGUACACACCGCCCGUCACGCCAUGGGAGUCGGUAACACCCGAAGCCUGUAGUCUAACCGCAAGGAGGACGCAGUCGAAGGUGGGAUUGAUGACUGGGGUGAAGUCGUAACAAGGUA
rnacentral:rRNA from 1 species